UGGAGGUCUAUGAUGGCUGGGAGCUGGGUACCCGUGAUGUGCUGGAGGUCUAUGAUGGCUGGGAGCUGGGUACCCGUGAUGUGCUGGAGGUCUAUGAUGGCUGGGAGCUGGGUACCCGUGAUGUGCUGGAGGUCUAUGAUGGCUGGGAGCUGGGUACCCGUGAUGUGCUGGAGAUCUAUGAUGGCUGGGAGCUGGGUACCCGUGAUGUGCUGGAGGUCUAUGAUGGCUGGGAGCUGGGUACCCGUGAUGUGCUGGAGGUCUAUGAUGGCUGGGAGCUGGGUACCCGUGAUGUGCUGGAGGUCUAUGAUGGC
ensembl:lncRNA